AUGGCCAUUUCGUGCCGGCUCCGGCGCAGCAGCUGUCUUGCUGCAACGCUGCCUACUAUGCUCAAUGCUCAAAGCAUAGUGAACCACCUUACUGAAACUAAUCAGAGAAGCAUGUGGGCUAGCAGAAGGAUAGUGGAGGACGAACAAAUGUACAUAAUCCAUGUUCAGGGCAAUGCUGGCAUCAGUCUCCCAGUUACGCUAGUCGUCAAGAAGCUCCAGAGUGUGAACCGCUGCAAGUCAGAGAUGAUCCUGUAAGCCAGCAUCUGUCACGACAACAUCGUCAACAUCCUACACUUCAUCUAGAGGGAAGAUGCGAUGAUGCUCGUUUACGCGUACGAGGUGAAUGGCAGCCUUGACCAUUGGCUGCACGUGGAGGAGGGCGAACCACCACUCAGCUGGCCGCAGAGGAAGGCCAUCGCCAUUGGCGUGGCCCAAGGGCUCUGCCACUUACACCAUGGAUGCAAUAGACCGAUUGUCCACCACAACAUCACCUCUAAUAACAUUUUGCUUGAUCAGGAGUUGAAUGCCAAGAUCGCCAGUUUUGGUGCUGCACAGAUGAACAUAACCGGGCUCAACCAGCCAUUGCCUAUCGCGGGGUUUGUAUUUGGUAACUUUGGAUACACAGCUCCAGAAUAUGGGAGGGUGGCAAGCCAGCUGGCGGAGAAGGUAGACACGUACAGCUUCGGUGUGGUGCUGCUGGAGCUUGUCAUGGGGAGGGUGGCCAAUGGAGCAGAUGGUCAGUGAGCAAUAUGGGCAAGUGACAACUUCAGUAAGCCGAUGGCGAAGAAGCUGCAACGGUUUAAGAUUGUUGUUGACAAGGGCAUCCCAGAUCAAGAAAGGUACAUGGAGGAGAUGGCAACCAUGUUCAGGUUGGGUGUGGAUUGCACUGUCGAGGAUCCGCAGCAAAGGACUUCCAUGAAGAUGGCUCUCAAACAACUCCGUUGUGGCCAUGGGCGCGGCCGAUUCGGUGGCCUUCUCACCAGCUAUAGCAUGUAG
rnacentral:rRNA from 1 species